CCCUACGGGGCGCAGCAGUGGGGCAUAUUGCACAAUGGGGGAAACCCUGAUGCAGCGACGCCGCGUGAAGGAAGAAGUAUUUCGGUAUGUAAACUUCUAUCAGCAGGGAAGAAAAUGACGGUACCUGACUAAGAAGCCCCGGCUAACUACGUGCCAGCAGCCGCGGUAAUACGUAGGGGGCAAGCGUUAUCCGGAUUUACUGGGUGUAAAGGGAGCGUAGGCGGCGAUGCACGUCAGAAGUGAAAGCACGGGGCUCAACUCCGGGACUGCUUUUGAAACUGUGUUGGUAGAUUGCAG
rnacentral:rRNA from 1 species